GAUACCUGUGGAAUGCUAGCUUGUCACACAGAAUAUUAACAACACCAAACAUCACCUGCCUUUUAGAAUCUCAUUGUACAGGUAGUUAAAGCGCAGAAGACGAAUCCAAGUUUCAUAAUUCCCAGGCUGAAUCUCUAACGCAUGGGGUAUCUCUUCACGGCUGCUCCAGCAAAGUGCAGCCACUGCUCCUUACCUUGGACCAGGGGUAUCUCCUCACCGCCGCCCUUCCUGACCUUCAAUGUGGGAUAGCUUCUCUAGGCCCUCUUGCGCCUGUGCAGCCACCGCUCCUUGGAAGUGCGGUUGGUCCUCCCGGCCGCCGCCCCUGGCCUCGGGUGUGGG
ensembl:lncRNA